UGAAUUAAGGUCUUUCCUGUUCUUUUCCACCUUUCCUUAUGGGAUAAAAGAAAAGUCGGUGGCGACUCUUGCUAACCGCGACAUUGCGAUUAAAAAUCCAUUAAAGUCCAGUUCACCGUAUGACAGAACUGGCGACUCUGCUGGGGACUACAAAGAGAGGUCCAUCUUAAAAAAAAAAAAAACCAUUCAUGUUUUCCUAAUUGUUCCUUCGUUUUAAAGGUAUU
rnacentral:lncRNA from 1 species